GCAUGUGGAAAGCAUAAGCCGGGAAUGGAAAUACCGGUACAAACGGAAGAGGUGUCAGGCUGGCAAAUCCGCCUGAUAAGCCAAAGACGUGAUGUGGAGCGAAAUAAAAGUAGCGAAGUAUGUGAGCCAUGUGCCGAGAAAAGCCGCUAUCGUUUUAUAUGUGCCCGUACCGUAAACCGACACAGGUGGAUGAGGAGAGAAUCCUAAGGCCGACGGAAGAAGCAUUGUUAAGGAACUCGGCAAAAUGACCCCGUAACUUCGGGAGAAGGGGUGCCCACUUCAGGGUGGGCCGCAGAGAAUAGGCUCAAGCAACUGUUUAGCAGAAACACAGGUCUAUGCGAAACCGUAAGGUGAAGUAUAUGGGCUGACGCCUGCCCGGUGCUGGAAGGUUAAGAGGAGAGGUUAGUCGCAAGAUGAAGCUUUGAAUUUAAGCCCCAGUAAACGGCGGCCGUAACAAUAACGGUCCUAAGGUAGCGAAAUUCCUUGUCGGGUAAGUUCCGACCCGCACGAAAGGCGUAAUGAUUUGAGCACUGUCUCGACAAUGCAUCCGGUGAAAUUGAAGUACCAGUGAAGAUGCUGGUUACCCGCGCCAGGACGGAAAGACCCCAUGGAGCUUUACUCCAGUUUGGUACUGGGAUUCGGUACUGCAUGUACAGGAUAGGUGGGAGACUGAGAAAUUGGAACGCCAGUUUCAAUGGAGUCACUGUUGGGAUACCACCCCUGCAGUAUUGGGUUUCUAACCAGCCGCUGUGAUCCAGCGGUGGGACAAUGCCAGGCGGGGAGUUUGACUGGGGCGGUCGCCUCCGAAAGGGUAUCGGAGGCGCUCAAAGGUUCCCUCAGAAUGGUCGGAAACCAUUUUAAGAGUGCAAAGACAGAAGGGAGCUUGACUGCGACACCGACGGGUGGAGCAGGUACGAAAGUAGGACUUAGUGAUCCGGUGGCAUAAAGUGGGAUUGCCAUCGCUCAACGGAUAAAAGCUACCCUGGGAUAACAGGCUUAUCACUCCCAAGAGUUCACAUCGACGGAGUGGUUUGGCACCUCGAUGUCGGCUCAUCGCAUCCUGGGGCUGUAGCAGGUCCCAAGGGUUGGGCUGUUCGCCCAUUAAAGCGGUACGCGAGCUGGGUUCAGAACGUCGUGAGACAGUUCGGUCCCUAUCCGGCGCGGGCGGAGGAUAUUUGAGAGGAGUUGUCCUUAGUACGAGAGGACCGGGAUGGACGGACCACUGGUGUAUCUGCUGUCGACCAACGGCAUGGCAGAGUAGCCAAGUCCGGAAGGGAUAAACGCUGAAGGCAUCUAAGCGUGAAGCCCCCCUCAAGAUGAGAUAUCCCUCACAUAAGUGAGUAAGAUCCCUUGAAGAGUACAAGGUAGAUAGGGCAGAGGUGGAAGCAUGGUAACAUGUGGAGCUGACUGUUACUAAUCGAUCGAGGGCUUGACCAA
rnacentral:rRNA from 1 species